AUUAAUUUAUUAUAUUAUUUUUAUUUUUUGUUAUUUAUUUUAUUUAAUAGAAAUAAUUUUAUUGUUUUUUGUCUUAGUAUUUUUUAUUGAAUUGAUUAUUUGUUAUUAUAGUUUAUUAGUAAUGUAAUUGAAUUAAUAAUUUUUUUAAAAAUUUAAAUAAGUAGAUUUUAUUUUUUGUACCUUUUGUAUCAGGGUUUAUCAAAAUUUUGAUUUUUAUUAAUUAAUCUCGAUUUAGGUUGAUUUACAAGUAAAUUAUAGUUGUUGUUUUAUAAACAUUAUUAAUUUAUUUGUGGAAGUGAAAUGUUAUUCGUUUCCUAAGAUAUUUAGUUUCUUAAGAAAAAAUUUAAUUUUUUAAAAUUAGUGUUUUAAUUUAAUUUUUUAAUUUAGAAUAUUAAUUUAUUUAUGCUUUAAGGGAUAAGCUUUAAAGUCGAAUUCCUAUAAACUUAUAAUUAUUUCGGAAUAUAAUAAUAGGCUUAAGACCAGCUAUUUUUCGAUUACGUUUUAGUUCAUUUUUUCUAUUUUUGAUUUUAUAAUGCUUUUAGGGUUUUUAUUAAGAUAAUUAAUUUAAUUUUAGAAUUUUUGUAAUAAUGAUGUAAUUAGUAUAUUUAUUUUGUUUAUGGUUUUUAUUUGUUAAUUUAUUAUAAGGAACUAGGCAAAAUUAAUUUCCGCCUGUUUAUCAAAAACAUGUCUUCUUGAUAAUAUUUUGAAGUCUGACCUGCUCACUGAAUAAUUUUAAAGAGCCGCGGUAUUUUGACCGUGCAAAGGUAGCAUAAUCAUUAGUUUCUUAAUUAGAGGCUUGAAUGAAUGGUUUGACGAGAAAUUAACUGUCUCUUAAUAAAUUUUAGAAUUUAACUUUUAAGUUAAAAGGCUUAAAUAUUUCUUUAGGACGAGAAGACCCUAUAGAGCUUAAUAUUUAUAAAUAUUAUAUAUUUUUAGUUUAUCUUUUUAUAUAGAUUUUUAAAUAUUUGGUUGGGGUGACAUGAAGAAUAAAUAAACUCUUCAUUAUUAAAUCAUUGAUUUAUGUUUAUUUGAUCCAUAAUUUAUGAUCAAAAGAUUAAGUUACCUUAGGGAUAACAGCGUAAUCAUUUUUAAGAGUUCAUAUCGACAAAAUGGGUUGCGACCUCGAUGUUGGAUUAAGAUUAAUUUUAGGUGUAGUAGCUUAAUAAUUAGGUCUGUUCGACCUUUAAAUUCUUACAUGAUCUGAGUUCAGACCGGCGUGAGCCAGGUCGGUUUCUAUCCUAAGAUAUAAAAUAUUCAUAUUAGUACGAAAGGACCAUAUGAUUGAAAUAAUUUUUGUUUAUUGGUUAAAAUUAAUUAUUU
rnacentral:rRNA from 1 species